rnacentral:rRNA from 1 species
UACGGAAGGCAGCAGUGGGGAAUAUUGCACAAUGGGCGCAAGCCUGAUGCAGCCAUGCCGCGUGUAUGAAGAAGGCCUUCGGGUUGUAAAGUACUUUCAGUCGUGAGGAAGGUGUUAAGGUUAAUAACCUUAGCAAUUGACGUUAGCGACAGAAGAAGCACCGGCUAACUCCGUGCCAGCAGCCGCGGUAAUACGGAGGGUGCGAGCGUUAAUCGGAAUUACUGGGCGUAAAGGGCACGCAGGCGGUUAAUUAAGUUGGAUGUGAAAUCCCCGGGCUUAACCUGGGAAUGGCAUUCAAGACUGGUUAGCUAGAGUCUUGUAGAGGGGGUAGAAUUCCAUGUGUAGCGGUGAAAUGCGUAGAGAUGUGGAGGAAUACCGGUGGCGAAGGCGGCCCCUGGGACAAAGACUGACGCUCAUGCGCGAAAGCGUGGGGAGCAAAC